rnacentral:antisense_RNA from 1 species
AGUUUAGGUGUUCACAUUAUGAAAGCACGACAUUGCUCACAUUGCUUCCAGUGUUUACUUAGCCAGCCGGGUGCUGGCUUUUUUUU